UGGUGGAGUGAUUUGUCUGGUUAAUUCCGUUAACGAACGAGACCUCGACCUAUUAACUAGUGGACAAGACCUUUACGGUUUUCGGACACUUCUUAAAGGGACUAUCGGUUCGUAGCCGAUGGAAGCUCGAGGCAAUAACA
rnacentral:rRNA from 1 species